UACGUAGGAGGCGAGCGUUGUCCGGAAUUACUGGGCGUAAAGAGCGCGUAGGUGGCGCGAUACGACCGGUGUGAAAUCCUCCGGCUCAACUGGAGGGGGUCACUGGUAACGGUCGUGCUAAGAGUGCAGGAGAGGGACGUGGAACUCCGGGAGUAGCGGUGAAAUGCGUAGAGACCCGGAGGAACACCAGUGGCGAAGGCGGCGUCCUGGCCUGCGACUGACGCUGUGGCGCGAAAGCUAGGGGAGCGAACGGG
rnacentral:rRNA from 1 species